UGCAAACAUCUUUUGCAGUUAUCAUUAAGCUACAAUUGCUUUGCUCCUUAAACCUUUGCGAUUGUGACAAAAUAACAUUGCCCAUUUUGUAACUAUUUUGCUCCCUUCCCCUUUUUUUGUUUUAAUAGGGACUAAUGUGGGAAGAACUGGCUAAUUUGUCACAGUGCUUAGUUACAGCUGUUAAUGUGUGACCUGCUGUUGGUGUACAUGUGGGUACAGGGUGUCUUUAAUUCCAAUGAGAUAGAGUAUAAUAUCAAUACUGCUAAAUCUGCAUGUCCUCUGUGUGACUGAUAAAGAGCAUUGCUAUUUCAUUUUUUUUAAGACAAAAUGAAAGCAAAAUAUAGAAUUCCAAUGUAUUGGUGUAGAUAAUCUAGUUGGGAGUACUUUUUUAAGUCUCACCUUCCCCUUUAAACUAAUACUUAUAAUUGACUCACGUUUAAGACACUUUAAUUUACAAAUUAAAUUGCAGAUGGGGACAUUAGAUUUAGUUUAGACUUAGGUGGGUAACUAUCAGUAAACUUUUCAACUACAUAACUAUAACCACAAAACCUGUAAUAUGCUGUACAAUAACAAGUGUUAGCAUUAUCAGUUGAAGUGUAAAUAUAAAAUGCUUCUUCCAGUUAGUCUCCAUCAUGAUUUAAGUUUCUAAAAUUUAUCUGAACACCAUUCAGAAACUUGUUUUGGGGAAUUUGAUAGUUAUUGAUGUACAUCUGUUAAAUUGAUGACAGACAUAACUCAUCAUUUCCCAGAAACCUUUUUUGAUUACAAUAUCUAACAGUUUGCCUCCUCUUUUUUGGUUUUGCUGGUUAUAAAGGUUUGGAUUGGAGAGGGCUCACUGGAUCCCAAUCCUUGGAGCUGGAUCAUUGGAUUCAAAUCAUAAUGUGGAUAGGAUAGGGAGGAUGAAUUACAAGUAUUCAUGAAGCGGGAUCAGAUUACCAGGAACAUAGGAGUGGAUUCCUGCCCCAACCAAACCGCACUCGUGUGGAUUUUUUUUAUUCAACUUAAUUGGCUAUUCCAAAGAUUUUUUUUUCUAUUUUUGACGAUUGGAGCCCUUAAGAUGCACGAUGGAAUUGUGCUUUGCAUUUUUUGGUAAAAGGAGCAAAGUGAGGACCUGGCGAUAUACCCUGGAGCAAUCUCCUUGGAAGGAUUCAGCACGAGUAGAUGGUAAACA
rnacentral:lncRNA from 1 species